UACGUAGGGUGCAAGCGUUGUUCGGAUUUACUGGGCGUAAAGGGCGCGUAGGCGGCGUGUUAAGUCACUUGUGAAAUCUCUAAGCUUAACUUAGAACGGUCAAGUGAUACUGAUGUGCUAGAGUGCAGAAGGGGCAACCGGAAUUCUUGGUGUAGCGGUGAAAUGCGUAGAUAUCAAGAGGAACACCUGAGGUGAAGACGGGUUGCUGGGCUGACACUGACGCUGAGGCGCGAAAGCUAGGGUAGCAAACGGG
rnacentral:rRNA from 1 species